AUUGAACGCUGGCGGCAGGCCUAACACAUGCAAGUCGAGCGAGCGGCGGACGGGUGAGUAAUGUAUGGGGACUGCCCGAUAGAGGGGGAUAACUACUGGAAACGGUAGCUAAUACAGCAUACUAUCGGAUAACCCAUAGGGGAUUAGCUAGUAGGUGAGGUAAUGGCUCACCUAGGCGACGAUCCCUAGCUGGGCUGAGAGGAUGAUCAGCGACAUUGGGAUGGAGACACGGCCAAGACUCCUACGGAGGGAGCAGUGGGGAAUAGUGCACAAUGGGGGCAAGCCUGAUGCAGCCAGGCCGAGUGUAUGAAGAAGGCCCUAGGGUUGUAAAGUACGUUCAGUCGUGAGGCGUUACCGACAGAAGAAGCACCGGCUAACUCCGUGCCAGCAGCCGCGGUAAUAC
rnacentral:rRNA from 1 species